UUGCUGUUGCUCUGCAAAGAUUUGCAGCUGGCGUUGAAAGUUUUGUCGACGGGUUUUGUCAUCAUAAAUUUUAAUAUUUUUUUCAUUCCUUUGCUUGUCUGUUUUUUUUUUGUGUGUACGUUUUUUCGUUGUCUUUUCGGACGCUUGCAGUACAAUGAAAGCCUUCUUCCUUUUUUCAACCCAGAAAUGUGAAAAUGAGCACGUUAAUAGUGGAAAAUGCAGUUGAGACCGCAGCCAAAGCCACAGCCAAAGAAGUCGGCUGAAGUCGCAAGGCUUGCGGCACCAAAGUGGCAAAAUGUGCGUCACACGCGGCGUAUGCGCAAUGCAACAGUACGAGCAAAGAAACUGUUCAGGGAAAAGAGAGAGAAGAGAGAAGACGAAGAGGAGGAGAGAUGAAUCCAGACGAGACGAGUGCUGAAUGCAUGCUGAUGAGCGAGCAUUCGAAUGGAAUAUGAAUGAGUAUAUCCAAGCGCAUUGAAUGCUAUUGAUAGACGCAAUGAAUCAUCUUAAUGUGUUCUUCUCUCUUGCUUCAAAUGCAAAUGCAAAUGCAAAAUCCGAAGUGCAACAGCAACAACAACAACAAGAAUAACAACCACAAUAAGGAAAAAAUUCACUUGAAAAUUGCCAAAAAUUUGCUGUCAAGCGAUUAAGUUUGAAACUGGGAUUUAUUUCUUCAAAACGAAUAUUUUAUUUUGCGUGCAAGAUUGAUACAAAUACAAACACAAAAAUCUUUCACUUCUCUGUGUAUAUGUUUCAUGCUCGAAGUUCACAAAGCAAGUGAAAUGCUCUAGACUUUAGUUAACAUCUAAAAUGUAUUUUUAUGGGAUGAUGAAAGAGAAACACUAAUAUUUUACUUUUCAAUUAAUGGCAAGCAAAAGAAAUUCGAGUCCGAUUCAUUUGUUGAUGUGAUUAAGUAAAGGAUUAGAAAUAU